UACAGAGGGUGCGAGCGUUAAUCGGAAUUACUGGGCGUAAAGCGUGCGCAGGCGGUUUUGUAAGUCUGUCGUGAAAUCCCCGGGCUCAACCUGGGAAUGGCAUUUGGGACUGCAAGGCUGGAGUUUGGCAGAGGAGACUGGAAUUCCCGGUGUAGCAGUGAAAUGCGUAGAUAUCGGGAGGAAUACCGAUGGCGAAGGCAGGUCUCUGGGCUAUAACUGACGCUCAUGCACGAAAGCGUGGGGAGCAAACAGG
rnacentral:rRNA from 1 species